rnacentral:rRNA from 1 species
AUACGUAGGGUGCGAGCGUUGUCCGGAAUUACUGGGCGUAAAGAGCUCGUAGGCGGUUUGUCGCGUCGUCUGUGAAAUUCCGGGGCUUAACUCCGGGCGUGCAGGCGAUACGGGCAUAACUUGAGUACUGUAGGGGAGACUGGAAUUCCUGGUGUAGCGGUGAAAUGCGCAGAUAUCAGGAGGAACACCGGUGGCGAAGGGGGGUCUCUGGGCAGUAACUGACGCUGAGGAGCGAAAGCAUGGGUAGCGAACAGGAUUAGAUACCCUGGUAGUCCAUGCCGUAAACGGUGGGCGCUAGGUGUAGGGGUCUUCCACGACUUCUGUGCCGUAGCUAACGCAUUAAGCGCCCCGCCUGGGGAGUACGGCCGCAAGGCUAAAACUCAAAGGAAUUGACGGGG